UACAGAGGGGGCAAGCGUUGUUCGGAAUUACUGGGCGUAAAGGGCGCGUAGGCGGCCUGCUAAGUCGAACGUGAAAUCCCCGGGCUCAACCCGGGAACUGCGUCCGAUACUGACAGGCUUGAAUCCGGGAGAGGGAUGUGGAAUUCCAGGUGUAGCGGUGAAAUGCGUAGAUAUCUGGAGGAACACCGGUGGCGAAGGCGGCAUCCUGGACCGGUAUUGACGCUGACGCGCGAAAGCCAGGGGAGCAAACGGG
rnacentral:rRNA from 1 species